GACGAACGCUGGCGGCGUGCUUAACACAUGCAAGUCGAACGGAAAGGCCCUGCUUUUGUGGGGUGCUCGAGUGGCGAACGGGUGAGUAACACGUGAGUAACCUGCCCUUGACUUUGGGAUAACUUCAGGAAACUGGGGCUAAUACCGGAUAGGAGCUCCUGCUGCAUGGUGGGGGUUGGAAAGUUUCGGCUGUUGGGGAUGGACUCGCGGCUUAUCAGCUUGUUGGUGGGGUAGUGGCUUACCAAGGCUUUGACGGGUAGCCGGCCUGAGAGGGUGACCGGCCACAUUGGGACUGAGAUACGGCCCAGACUCCUACGGGAGGCAGCAGUGGGGAAUAUUGCACAAUGGCGGAAGCCUGAUGCAGCAACGCCGCGUGCGGGAUGACGGCCUUCGGGUUGUAAACCGCUUUCGCCUGUGACGAAGCGUGAGUGACGGUAAUGGGUAAAGAAGCACCGGCUAACUACGUG
rnacentral:rRNA from 1 species